rnacentral:lncRNA from 1 species
ACGAAGGGAAGGAUGUUGCCUCCUGGAACAUAAUGCUGAAUGGCUAUGCGAGGCGGGGAUAUGGCGACUUCGCCGUCGCGCUCUUCCACCGGAUGGAAGAUCAAGGAGUUCUCCCUGACGAAGUGACCUUCAUCUCCCUCCUGCUGGCCUGCAGUCGUUCGGGCAUGGUGAGCCGAGGUCAGAUCUUCUUCAACCUGAUGAGUCAGAAGUAUGGUAUCACCCCGAAUGUGAAGCACUACGCCUGCAUGGUGGACCUGCUGGGGCGCGCGGGGCGUCUGCCGGAGGCCCACCGGCUCAUACAGGAGAUGCCCAUCGAGCCCGACGCCGCC